rnacentral:misc_RNA from 1 species
GAGUUAGGGUGACCUUGUGUCGCCCGACCUCCCAACCCUUUGUCUAAUUUACCUUGUCGUUGCUUCGGCGGACCGGUCGACCAACUGGUCUUGACCGCCGGGGGUCUCAUCCCCCUGGAGAGCGUCCGCCGACGGCCCAACCACAAACUCUUGUACCAAACCAUGUCGUCUGAAUUACUUGAUUAAAAUCAAAAACAAAACUUUCAACAACGGAUCUCUUGGUUCU